rnacentral:rRNA from 1 species
CAGUAGCCGCGGUAAUACGAGGGGGGCAAGCGUUGUUCGGAAUUAUUGGGCGUAAAGGGUGCGUAGGCGGUUUGGCAAGUUUGGUGUGAAAUCUUCGGGCUCAUCUCGAAGUCUGCAUCGAAAACUGCCGGGCUUGAGUAUGGGAGAGGUGAGUGGAAUUUCCGGUGUAGCGGUGAAAUGCGUAGAUAUCGGAAGGAACACCUGUGGCGAAAGCGGCUCACUGGACCAUAACUGACGCUGAUGCACGAAAGCUAGGGGAGCAAACAGGAUUAGAGACCCGAGUAGUCCCUGUCUCUUAUAC